GACGAACGCUGGCGGCGUGCUUAACACAUGCAAGUCGUACGGUAAGGCCCUUUCGGGGGUACACGAGUGGCGAACGGGUGAGUAACACGUGAGUAACCUGCCCACAACUUUGGGAUAACGCUAGGAAACUGGUGCUAAUACUGGAUAUGUGCUCCUGCUGCAUGGUGGGGGUUGGAAAGCUCCGGCGGUUGUGGAUGGACUCGCGGCCUAUCAGCUUGUUGGUGGGGUAGUGGCCUACCAAGGCGGCGACGGGUAGCCGGCCUGAGAGGGUGACCGGCCACAUGGGGACUGAGAUAGGCCCAGACUCCUACGGGAGGCAGCAGUGGGGAAUAUUGCACAAUGGGCGCAAGCCUGAUGCAGCAACGCCGCGUGCGGGAUGACGGCCUUCGGGUUGUAAACCGCUUUCAGCAGGGACGAAGCUUUUUGUGACGGUACCUGCAGAAGAAGCACCGGCUAACUACGUG
rnacentral:rRNA from 1 species